rnacentral:rRNA from 1 species
GACGAACGCUGGCGGCGUGCUUAACACAUGCAAGUCGAGCGGUAAGGCCCUUUCGGGGGUACACGAGCGGCGAACGGGUGAGUAACACGUGGGUGACCUGCCCUCAGCUCUGGGAUAAGCCUGGGAAACCGGGUCUAGUACUGGAUAUGACUCCAUGACGCAUGUUGUGGGGUGGAAAGCCUUGUGCGGCUGAGGAUGGGCCCGCGGCCUAUCAGCUUGUUGGUGGGGUGAUGGCCUACCAAGGCGACGACGGUAGCCGGCCUGAGAGGGCGACCGGCCGACACUGGGACUGAGACACGGCCCAGACUCCUACGGGAGGCAGCAGUGGGGAAUCUUGCGCAAUGGGCGAAAGCCUGACGCAGCGACGCCGCGUGAGGGAUGACGGCCU